rnacentral:sRNA from 1 species
AUGUACCCCUCGUACACUGCUGUUCCUCCGCGCCGCACCCACUUGUCGACUGCUCGCUACGUUUUGUCAGUU